CCUUAGUACGAGAGGACCGGGUUGGACGAACCGCUGGUGUAUCGGUUGUCAUACCAAUGGCAUGGCCGAGUAGCCAAGUUUGGAAGGGAUAAACGCUGAAGGCAUCUAAGCGUGAAGCCCCCCUCAAGAUGAGAUAUCCCAUAGCAUAAGCUAGUAAGACCCCUCGAAGACGACGAGGUAGAUAGGUUAGAGGUGGAAGUGCAGUAAUGCAUGCAGCUGACUAAUACUAAUAGGUCGAGGGCUUGACCUAA
rnacentral:rRNA from 1 species